UCCAGCGGAGACCAUCACCGCGCGGGACCGCAAGGAGGAACCGGCUCUGUGUGUUGCUCACUGGGAAUAAUCACACCGAUCGAUCUGAUGGAUUUUGCCCAAAGCAUCAGUCAACGUUACUCACGGAUUCUUUGGAAGCAUUACACGGAUUAACUGCUGCUGUUACGGCAUUCAUGACACACGUGGAUGAGUUAUUGGUGUUAUUAACGCUGGUAGCACUUUGUGAUGACAACAGAUGAUGGAUGCAACACUGUGCGUCGUCCUGUGGGAUGUGAGGACAUACUGUGUCUCUCGCGGGAUGAAUGGUCUCCAUUUCUUCUGCAGGACGAGCGGCUUGUCGGACAGGCGAGUCUCUUGGGAUCCUUCACGCGUGUGGCCCCGUGUCACAGAUGGUCAACACCAUGAUAUGGUUUUGGAAAUCGAUAUUCGAUGCGCUGGAUUUUGGAAAGGAAUAUCCUGGAAUAUAACUUGAGAGUGCUCAGCAGAUGAGCCAGCUGUUUGGAUAAUGACAGAACGCUCAUCCAGCAGUGAAGGAAUCCAAAUUCUUGGAAUGAGAUGUCAACCUUUAAUUGCUUCUCAGGGAAUUUCUGAUGAUCUCAGGUGAGCACAGAGAAGAGGCUGAGUCAUGGAAACAUGAUCGCAAGAGAUGCAACAGGAUCGCACUAAAUCCCGGUUUGGAGCGUGGACCAGCAUCCCCUGCAGCAGAUGUUUGCUCUUGGCGUGGCUGCGAACAGCGGGAGCUCCAUCACUGACAAUCCGGCUCUCCGGAUCCAGCGCCAGCAGCAUGGACUUGGAGAAGCUGUGGCGUAAACUCAGCAGGACAGUGGAGUGUAUUCGGCUUCUCAGAUAUUAUGGAACAGACCAGUCGACCCUGUCUGGAGCGCCACUCCAUAGGAAAGUCCACUCCAUGGAGUUACGAUUACCGUGGCUACCUCAAUGGAUCUACACAUUGUGUGACUCUUUCUAAAUUGAACCUGGAUUAAUAUUUCCCUGUAUAUACAUCUGCUUUUGAUGACCAGUGUUUAUUCAUGCAGUGGCUCAUUUGCUGCAGUUGUGACAUAUACUGUGUUAUUCUGGAUACAGUAUCAACAAAUGCUGGAACAGUAAAUGGAAAAUAAUCAGAUGUUAUUUUCAUUUUUAGGUCUAUUAUUUUUACAGACUGAAAACGGCACUCACACCAAUGCAGUCACGUACAAAGUGUAUCUCGUGAGGAGCACAAUAAAUGUUUCCUAUUAUGUAAAACUAAUUAUUACGCAUUUCUCAGAAGGAUUACUCAGUCAAUGGACAUUUGACUUCUUCCAACUGUGAUCACAAAGAAGCCAUUGUAAUCCAGGUGCUUACGAAUACGACUAUUGACACCACAUCUCAUUGGCUGCCUCGGUAGCUUUGGUUAAUAAUCUUGUCAUGCUGUUUGUUUCUGAUGAUGAUUUAGAGCUGAAUCAUUUGUGUUGUGUCUGUGGAGCCCUGAAACGGAAAUAAAAACUAAAGGCGUGUCCA